UCCUUUGACACUCUAGAGAUAGAGCUUUCCCUUCGGGGACAAAGUGACAGGUGGUGCAUGGUUGUCGUCAGCUCGUGUCGUGAGAUGUUGGGUUAAGUCCCGCAACGAGCGCAACCCUUAUUACUAGUUGCCAGCAUUUAGUUGGGCACUCUAGUGAGACUGCCGGUGACAAACCGGAGGAAGGUGGGGACGACGUCAAAUCAUCAUGCCCCUUAUGACCUGGGCUACACACGUGCUACAAUGGAUGGUACAACGAGUCGCGAGACCGCGAGGUUUAGCUAAUCUCUUAAAACCAUUCUCAGUUCGGAUUGUAGGCUGCAACUCGCCUACAUGAAGCCGGAAUCGCUAGUAAUCGCGGAUCAGCAUGCCGCGGUGAAUACGUUCCCGGGUCUUGUACACACCG
rnacentral:rRNA from 1 species